rnacentral:piRNA from 1 species
UCUCUGUGUAGCCAGACUAACUUGGAUUU